GUGUUCUCAGAGUAGGAGGACUCGUCCACGGGAAAACAGACUCUCUUCUACUGUGUGUGGUCCUCCACUUGUCCCGGUCAGGCACAUUGUGGUCUGGAAAGGCAGAUGGGAAAUAAAUUAGGGGAACAGCAACUUUUCAGAGAAGGCCAGCGAAACUAGCGUGCUGUGUGCUUCAAACAUUCGUGUCGGCUGCCUGCAUGAAAGUCAAAGUCAUUCAAAGCGAAAGUAUCAUUAUCAGGGAAAAGUGCCCAUGAGCAUGGAGCCUGAGGGACAAGCUUCCUCCUAAUUUUUAAAGAACAUGAGACACAAGCAAGCAGAUUUUGUGUCUUAGGACUUGGCAAGGCUUGGCCCCUAGGAUUUACUUCAUCAUCAGGACAGCAGGGCAAGACUCAGGGCACUGGACCAGAGGUGACGGAAGGACACCACUCUCUCAAAGACCCUGCAAUGGUUGUGCCCCACUGCAUCAUUUUCUCCAGCAGACAUUACUGGAGAGUCCCAGCGAUGUACCCAGAGAGCAGGCGAAACCCCCGCUGGAGCCGUGAGCAGACCCCAGGGUGGCAUAAAUAUCGCCUUUUCCUUUGCGUUCUCCGCCUUUCCUGUUUACUUGUAGCUUUCAAGCCUCUCUCCUCCACUUAGCAUGGAAGCUGAAGUUAUUGCAUUGCUGUUUCACAGCCAAGGAAUUAGAUUUAUAACAAGGUUUAUAUGGGAAACAAGCUCCUUAAGUACCAGGCUGAGCCGUUCCACACUAUAAUCGAG
rnacentral:lncRNA from 1 species